UAAAAUGCAGAGCUACGCAUGCAAUGUAACAAUAUUAGACCUCAACGACUAUUGUUUGGAGUCAAUUUGUGAUUAUCUGGAGGGAGAAGAUCUUAUUAACUUUGCAGAGACCUGUAGUCGUGUUCGGCAGGUGUUCAAGCAUUGGGCCAGCUUUCGUUAUGUCAAUUUCUUUGUUGUUGAGGAGAUUUCUACAUAUGAACUCAAGUUGCUGUCGAUUGUUGCAGAAUAUGUAAAAAAACUGUGCAUCUAUGUUGAUGAUUUGAAUGUUUUCCUAUCCAGGAACUAUGGGAAAAAGAAAAAUUAUUUUUUUCAAAAGUUCUGUAUGUUAAUAAAAGAUAUGAAAAGUCUGCAAAGUUUUGGUUUGUGGCAGUAUAAAAAAAAAGUUUGCAUGAGAAGUAUAUUUUUAGCUAUUCAGGAGGAGAAUUUGAAGCACUUACAAAUUUGCGCUCAGAAAUGCGAAGCAGCUGCUCUGCGGCCCUUCACGCAACUGGAGAUGCUAUCAUUGAACGUGCCGCUGAGCUCCAAGGAUUUGUUGAAUUCGUGCCAGUCAAUGAGACAUCUGCGCGCACUGCACUUGACGGAUCGAGUGGGCAAUUCAAGCCUGAAGGAUAUCAUAUACCAUUGCCCAAACUUGCAAGAACUUAGUUUCUAUAUAAAAAACAAGAAAAAUA